UCCACUUCACUGGAUUCCGGUUCCUCCUUCUCAUUGGUGUUGAUUGGCUGCUGAUCCUAGAGUGGAUGGACUGCCGAAGCAGAAUUUGGUGUAAGAUUGCUGGUGAUCCACGGUUCCGACGAUCCAGUUGCAAUAGUGAAUUCCUCCGGUCAUGUUCCACCAGUGGUCAUGGUUAAUUUGGGUGUUUGAUGAAAUGCCUUAAGCUGCUUGUUUCCUCUGUUUAUGCCGGACCAUCUGCAAAGGGGUGGGGAAGCUCCAUUUUUCUCCACAACAAACUUUGGAUUUCUUCAUCAAAAGGGUGUGAAUCUGUUUUGGAUCAAGGACUUGGAUUCGGGACGAGCGUCUCGACGUGGGAUUACUUGGCACGAUCUACAUCUUAAG